AAAGGACCUGGGGCCAUCGAGGGUGGAUGGCCAUAUCCGGGGGCCUCGAUGCCAGUGCCGACUGUUCCCUGCAGGCUUCCACAUCCACGCCAACAUUGCAAGACUGUGUCACGGACCGAAACAGCUACAGUGAUGACACACCUGAGGUGAACACAACUCUGGCAGCAUCCUGGCCCCUGACAGGGCAAGUGCAUGUGGAACCUGGAAACUUCACAGCUGAGCCUACGAUGGUGCUCAUGGCGCUCAGCAGGGGUUCUGGAUCCAGUGGUAGGAAGUCAUUUGAAGCAGCUUGUGAACGUUCACAGAAGCAGCUCAGGAUCCUGCUGCUUCCGAGAGGGGAGCUGGACAGGUUACUGCCUCUGACGUGGGGGAGGAGAGAAAACGAAACCCAGAGCCCUGAGCAGCUGUCGUCCAAGAUGGUGGCCCCAGAGUCACCUGGCCAGGCUCCCCACGUUUUCCUGAGCUGGGCUCGCAUGGCUGGUAAGAGCCCAGGACCCCCCCAGACCCUGGGGCCACGGCCCGAAGCGUGGGUUGAAGGGGCCUUGGCAGAAGCCUGGCCUGCAAACAGCAGCAUCCAAGCUCCUCCAUCAAAGCGGUCCCCUGCCGGAGUGGACGUGGCUGCUUCCUCAAACCAGGAAAACCUGUCUAAAAUUCCGCGUCACUGCGGGCCUUCCUCUCCCGCCCCCCAUUGUCCAGCAGGCAUCAGGCCCCAGGCCGGAGGCCACGUGCCAGGCUGGCAGGAUUUGUCCUCUGUGAAGCUCGACACCCCCUCAGGCCCUGUGCUGCCCGCCCAGAUCUCCCCUGCCUCAGGAUGCCCUCCGCACCCUCCGAAUUCCCAGCCGCUGCUCUGGGGCCCGCACGGAGGACUUGGGCCCAGCACCUCGAAGCUCCAAAGAGAACACAGAAUUCACCCCUAGGUUUUGUCAGAUUGCUUCCGAGGUUGCCCUCUUCGCCGUGGCUGCCGAGUGCAGAGCUGGGCAUUCGAGUGGGCAGAGUGGUGCUCGGCUUCCCUGCAUCUCCUGGGCCAUGUGUGCUGACCCGUGCCCACUGCAUUGCUCCUGUGUGCCCUGCACAUACGACUGUGUCUUUCCCGUGUAUUCAGUGCUGCUUCAUGUCUUCCAGUUCUGCUUUGUGGUUUGUGACUGACCAGUGCAUCCAGUUCCUGCUGUGGCAGCUGCAAUGUGCUCUGUCCUGCAGGAAGCCCUCGGGGUGGGGCCUGGGGGCUGCGGGAAGCUGAGCAACGAGGUACGGGAAUGGGCAGCUUUGUUUUAUUUAUUUAUUUUUUUUGCUAUUUAAUUAUCUCACCUUAUUACACUUUAAUUAAAAUAUCGAUCUUUACACAAUACACUUGAACUGUGGAAUAAAGCAGGACCAGAUGUGGAUCCUGGAGCUGACAGUCACUUGCUUCCCACCCAGCCACGUCCUAAUUCUCUUUUUGCGAAAGCAACUACUUGUCCCUGUUAAAGCUGUUCCUUCUGGUCAUGACUGUUUUAUCACAAAAUCAUAUGCCUCUAUUUUUGUUGCUUGACUUAUCCAUUUUUUAGACAUUAUCUGUUUAUUUCCUGCUGGACAGGCAUUUUAGCUCCAUCUCCCCUACUUCCACAUCCACAUUAUAAUUAUAUCUCUAUUUUUAGUUAAGUCCAUAGUUAGUAUUUACAUUUUCAUGACUAAGUUAAUAUUGCUUAUUACUGAGCCAAACAAAGCAUGAUGGUUAUUUUUCAUUCCAUCAACAGCUUCCCCCUGCCCUUUGCCCAGCCUGAUAGUUUUGACUUUUUUUUUCUCACAAUACAUGCUCAUGUGUGUUCAUAGUCUCCUGGCUAUCUUCUAUCUGCCUUCACUCCCAGUGCUCCAUUAUGCCAGGGAGUCUCCUCAGGAUGAGCCCCAUAUGCAGCCUCCAUUGUGCCACUCUCUCAGAUCCAGUGUGCAGCUCUCCUCCUGGGACUUCCCUCCACAACUUUUCUCAGUUGAAUCCACUAUUUGUUGGAUCCCAGGUCUUCCUCUUUAUUUUCUCCUUCAUUUUGCUGGAGCACAUCCUCAAGUAACUUUCUAAAAGAAGUUUAAACAGGUAAAUGUUUUGGAAGGUUGAAUGCCAGAAAAUAGCUUUAUUCUACCUUCAUUCUUGACUCAUAAUGUUGCUGGAACCAAUUUCUAAGUUUGAAAUCAUUUUUCAGGAGCUAGGAAUUGAACUCAAAAUUCCAAAAUUAGGGUUCUUUUAUUUGACAUGCCCUCUGACUAGGAAGCAAGCACAACUGCUCCACCAUUACUGGCAAGUUACUGAAAGCAAUCCUUUGACAGCAGCUGCAGACCCACAGCCAUACAGAAUUUUCCUUUUUAAACAAGUCGCUCACCAUUAGGAUGCUCUGAUUUCUCCAUUUGUAAAAUGAAGAUUCUCUCUCAACUUUUGGUUUUAGCUUUUGGUCUGGCAUAUUUGGUAAGCUACAAGUGAUUUUUGGCUGAAAAUCAGUCAUGUGUGGCAGGUCGUUUCACCAGGCGCCCUGCACCCAGAGAUCUAGGGCCCUCAAUCCUUCUUCAGUUGCUGUCAGUGCAAGGGCAAUCUCACCCAACCCUCCACAGGGAAAGGCAACUGCCACGUGCCUCUGAGAGCAGGGAGGCAGCAAGUGCUGACUCGGGGCUCACAGGGGUCCCGCCCGUAAAGCACACCACAGACCAGGGCUCACCCCACAAACAUUCUCUCACUCAGUCCUGGAGGCAGAAAGGCCAACAUCAGGGUGCUAGCAUGGCUGGCGUCUGGUGAGACUCUCUUCCUGGUUUGCAGACCGUUGCCAUAGUAUUGUGAUAAUAACAACAUAUAAAUUUGGUCUUCAUCCCAGAUUCCCAACACCAGAGCUUCUAAGAGCCCUGGAACCUCUUGAGUGGUGAGUGUGUCUUUCGUGUGCUGACGAGAGGACAGAGCUGGUGACCCUUGGGCAGCUUCAGGAAGGGACUGCUCCCCAGAAAGACCAAGGCAAGGCUUACAGGUGAGAACUUUCAGAUCCACCCCAACCUCCAGGAAGUGAGAGGGGAGAGAGGACAGGAGCUGGAGAUGGAACUGAUUACCGAUGGCCAAGAAUUUAACCAAUUAUUCUGUUAAUGAAAAACCAAACUCUGUAAAAUAUUUUAAAGAGGUUUAUUCUGACCCCUAAUACAGGUGACCACAGUUCAGGGAAAAUACAAACCCAAGAAGCCUAGAGUGAGUGUUCCUGAGGUGGCUGGAUUACAGUCUGGUUUUAUGCACUUUGGGGGACAGGCGUUACAGGCGGACGAGGGAUAUAUCGGC